UCCCCGUUGUCCGGGGCAGUCUCGCCUGAAAAAUUCAACAGGCAAUGAGGGUUGCGCUCGUUGCGGGACUUAACCCAACAUCUCACGACACGAGCUGACGACGGCCAUGCAGUACCUGUCACCGGGUUCCCGAAGGCACAGCCCUGUUUCUAGGGCGUUCCCGGGAUGUCAAGCCUUGGUAAGGUUCUUCGCGUACCUUCGAAUUAAACCACAUGCUCCACCGCUUGUGCGGGUCCCCGUCAAUUCCUUUGAGUUUUAGCCUUGCGGCCGUACUCCCCAGGCGGGAUACUUAACGCGUUAGCUUCUUAGCACAAAGGGUCGAUACUUCGUACUAACAGUAUCCAUCGUUUACGGCGUGGACUAC
rnacentral:misc_RNA from 1 species